AUUCAAACUUCAGUUCGUAUUCGGGACUUCCCGUCCUCCAACUUCUGCUUCCAAAAACAUCAACACCACCGACUAACAGAGUGAAUGAGGCGUUAGGUUUUGCCUCGUCCACUUCUUCCAUAAUGGUGAUAUCCCUGCGUCAUAGCUCCGCGAAAUUAGCCCUAAAACUGUCGAUUCUACUUCCUCUGGUCGCCGAUUCUCAGGUGUGUUAUUUCAUUGAAAAACUCCCCAAGCGAAGAUGGAAUGAGUAGUCCGAAUAAGAUGAAUUGGUAAGGGGAGAGUGAAAAUGAAGACUGGUAAAGAGGAUCAGUGUGAGACUGUGAGCCAACCCUAUAGAUUGGUGCUUUUGGAUGUGUUUGCUUCUUUCAAACGCUCAUAAUUCAUCAUUGAUGGACCAAAAGCUGGGAGUAAGAUUAUUAAAAUCCGUAAAAAGGCUUUUGUUGAAGUUAUUUGGAAACACCAAGCUAGAAAAAUUGAUCAGGGAUCUAAGCCACCCCUUCCACAGUUCAACCU